UGAGUAACCUGCCCUGGACUUUGGGAUAACCCUUGGAAACGGGGGCUAAUACCGGAUAUGACGACUCACCGCAUGGUGUGGUUGUGGAAAGUUUUUCGGUCUGGGAUGGGCUCGCGGCCUAUCAGCUUGUUGGUGAGGUAACGGCUCACCAAGGCUUCGACGGGUAGCCGGCCUGAGAGGGCGACCGGCCACACUGGGACUGAGAUACGGCCCAGACUCCUACGGGAGGCA
rnacentral:rRNA from 1 species